AACGAACGCUGGCGGCAUGCCUAACACAUGCAAGUCGAACGAGACCUUCGGGUCUAGUGGCGCACGGGUGCGUAACGCGUGGGAACCUGCCCUUAGGUUCGGAAUAACUCCCCGAAAGGGGUGUUAAUACCGGAUAAUGUCUUCGGACCAAAGAUUUAUCGCCUUUGGAUGGGCCCGCGUUGGAUUAGCCAGUUGGUAGGGUAAAAGCCUACCAAGGCGACGAUCCAUAGCUGGUCUGAGAGGAGGAUCAGCCACACUGGGACUGAGGCACGGCCCAGACUCCUACGGAGGGCAGCAGUGGAGAGUAUUGGACGAUGGGCGAAGGCCUAAUCCAGCAAUGCCGCGUAAGUGAUGAAGGCCUUAGGGUUGUAAAGCUCUUUUACCCGAGAUGAUAAUGACGGUACCGGGAGAAUAAGCACCGGCUAACUCCGUG
rnacentral:rRNA from 1 species